rnacentral:snoRNA from 1 species
AUGCAAUGAUGAGGGCAAUCGGUGCAAAGCAUCUUAAAUAUAUCCCAUGCUUGGUAAAAAUUUUCAUCUUUUUGUAGUUGAAAGGUGACAAUCCUUUGUCUUCCUUU